GGUUGUGGCUCAGCGGUAGAGCACUCCCCUCCACAUGCGAGGCCCUAAGUUCGAUCCUCAGCACCA
rnacentral:tRNA from 1 species